GCAUCUGUGCAUCUGUUGGAUGUGCAGAUGGGGGCAGCUGCCCUCUUAGACACUGGCAGCAAUAGCAGUGUUAAUACGUGCAUCUAUGACCAAGGAAGAUACCACUUAUCUGCAGUAGAUGUGGAAGUCACCAAGGCUCCCAUUUUCAGUUCAGCACCACACAGUCUGUGAUUUGAUCCCAAGAAAGGAGCUCAGAGAACAUAUAAAGGCUUGGGUAGUGCCCAUGGAAGAUUUUGGAUGGAUUGAAAUGAUUCUGCAGGCUGUUCAUCAGGGAAUAACCAAAGCAAAGGUUGAAAUCUCUGAGAAUUUUGAAAAGAGUAAAUGAACCUGUUGAAAGUCUAAUUGCUACAGAAGACAACUUCAAGGCCAUGGGUGUAAAAGCUGAAACAAAUUAUUAUGCUUAUCAGAGUUGGGUUUUAGGACAUUUUUCUUUUCUUAAGAAGCACAAACAAGCUAUUAUAUUUAAUAACUAGCUACUAGUCUGAAUUUCAAAGCAGAUAUUGUCAGUCUUAUUCAACAAAGCUGUCCAUUCAUCUACCAGCUUGUGCAGUGAGUGGGUCUUUAGGGAGACAAAGAGUAGAAAACAGUGAUGGAGAAACGCACAUUCCUGGAAGCUCCAUUACCAUUUGUGGAGUUAAUCACCUCUUAUUCUUUUCAAUCAUGGGCUGGAAGGUAAUAUUUAAUAAACAUUUCUGGUAUGGAAAGCAAAGAUACUGAAUGGUAAAGCACAACUGACAAAUUUCAAUUCUUUUAGUAAAGCUUAAGCAGGUGCAAGGUCAGUGUCUUUGUCUUACAUUAUUAGAGCCCCUAGAAAAAGAGGAAGUUUGGGGCAAACACAUAUUUAGGAACUUUUCCUUAAAUCCAGGUCUUGCACUAGAUUACUACCUUGUGUAUUAUCCAUAGGGUGCAGCAACCUACAGUUUCCCCUGUGUCCCACUUCAACCCUAGAAAUAGGGUUUAUUUCACACACAGUGACUAGAUGGGAGCAGGGAACAGUAUGAUUGAUUUCUGCUGUGACAAAAGCCACCUGGUUCUCCUGGAGAGAGGACAGGGAGGAGGAACCAGGCUUCCUCUUGGCUGAGCUCUUCAUCUGUUUGUGCUCUAUAAAAGGCCAUUUUUUCCCUUUUUGACUCUGUGCAAGUCAUGCUUUGCAUUCAAAGGAAAUUUGUCCCUGGACUAUAAUCAUGGCAUAAAUAGACCUAUGCAGGGCCUCCCUGAAUCUGCAUUCACUAAAAAAUCCCAUACCCAGCAUGUCUACGAGGAACCAUUCAACUAGCUGAAUGAGUGCAUAAAGCAUUGGAAAACACUAGCCUUAUCUCCUCAAGAGUCGACAGCAAAAUGUAUGACCAUGUUGAAGUUCCUGGCAGCUCUAGAAAUAGUGCCUGCUGAGCAAAUAAGGUCAGAGUGGGUUGGUGAAAAUAGAUUGUUCUCAGAAUUUGGCACAUAAGACUUUAAAAGUGCUUUAUGAACAGAAAUCAUUCUCUCAGGUCUUGAUCCUGCAAAAGCUCGUGUGGGUAGACUUCUCCAGCUCAUAAAUUUAAAGAUCUGUUUAUGUUUUUUUGCAGGGUGGGGUUUUUAGGCUAAAUAAAAGAAGGUGAAACAUUAGCUACUGAAGGUUUCACCUUCAAAGCAAGGUAUCUUUGCCUUUCUGUUUAGUUUUCUGUGAGUAAAAUCCCUGACUUACUAAUUUCUUUCGUUUGCUCACCCUAUCAGAACUUAAGCAGCAGUUCCUCUAAGGCACUUGUUUUGAUUUCCCACUUAGGUAUUCUAGGAACUUGCUUAAAUCAUUUGACGUUUGUGUUACUAACAUAAAACCUUCGUGAUCUGGAAUCUUUAUAUAAUUAAGCAAAAUAAUACAGCUCCCUGCAUGAAACUAAAGCAGUUCGAGGAAAUUCUCAGUGGAAAUAAGGAUGACUCAUUCUUCAAGCAACACCAACAAUUAAGUAUACAUAAGCUAUCAGUUCCCAAUUGGAAAAAAUGGGACAUUUAUAUAAUAAAGGGCUUUCUUAAUCUGUGUGGAAAGAUGAUAAGGUAUAUGUACCAGCUGAGACUGCAUUCAGGAAUAUGUUUACCAGUACUCAAGUUUAUUCUCAAGAGCAGCAUCCAGUGAAUAAAACCAUACUGGUGGUAAUUUUAAGCCUCACAUAUUUGUAAAAUCAUUAUGCUGUCAGUCCUUUUUGAUGCCAAAGUCUGCAUGCUGUGCAUUUAAGAUUUUAGGAUGAAGAACUGAAACAGAAUUUCUACAUUUAGGUAUUUAGAACCAAAUAAGACUUAUGAUUUGGGCAAAAUCCAAAGAAAGAAAAUCUUCUAAAGAAAAAACAGCCUUAGGUGAUAUAAAGUCAUUAUUUUCCUGGUAGAUGUAUAUCAUUUUGAAACUCUGUAUACCAUUCGGCUUCUUCCUUUGGUGUCAGCAUGCCCACUUCAUUUGGCACGGCUUGAUUCUGGGGUCUGAUCACAACCAUGUCAUUGCAUGCCUUCUGCUGGGUGACGGACGCUGCAAGCAGAAAGACAAACCCUUGGAUGCGUUUAGAUCACCUCUGCCAUUUGGGUUUCUGUCAAUCUUGCUGACACACAGACCCCUAAAAUGCCACCGGGGUCUGCUCCAAAUUAAUCAUGUAUUGGCAACUGCCUCUGCUCCAGCCCAAAGAUAAUCAGCCCGUCCCAGAGCCCUGCUUUUCCCCCAGCAUGAUAUGG